rnacentral:rRNA from 1 species
UCGUCAUUGCUGCGGUUAAAAAGCUCGUAGUUGGAUCUGCGCCUCAGGACCUGGUCCGCCCACUGGGCGAGAACUGGGCUCCUGGGCUAGUUCUGCUGGUUUUCCCUACGUUGCCUUCAUCGGUCGCGUAGGGUGGCUAGCGAGUUUACUUUGAAAAAAUUAGAGUGCUUCACGCGGGCUUAUGUCUGAAUACUCGUGCAUGGAAUAAUAGAAUAGGAUCUCGGUUCUAUUUUGUUGGUUUUCUGAUCUGAGAUAAUGGUUAAGAGGGACGGACGGGGGCAUUCGUAUCGCUGCGUGAGAGGUGAAAUUCUUGGACCGUAGCGAGACGUCCGACUGCGAAAGCAUUUGCCAAGAAUGUCUUCUUUAAUCAAGAAC